rnacentral:lncRNA from 1 species
GUUUGGAACUCUUUUUAUUUCAUGUUGGCCUCAAACUUACAGUGGUCCUCCUACCUCCACUUUCCUGGGAUUUCAAGACUGAUCUGCCACACUCAGUUGCUCAAGUGGGGCUGUCUAGAGCAGACAAUCCAUUGUCCAGCAGGUGGCUACUGACAACCUGGAGAUGGGUCUCUAAUGUGUCUCCUAUGGGAUCACCAACCUGAAAAGAAUGUCUCAGGGAAAGAAUUGCUACUUCUGGAACUAAAAUAGUUGUAGUAUUUCACUCAUGUUUCCAGACAGCUGGAAAACAAGGAAAAGCAUGACCUUUGUGACUGGAUUUUAAAAAAAAAGGUCCAAACCAGAGAGACCAUUGCCACCAACUAAAGAAAUGAAAAGGAAUAUACCGGAAUACAAAUGACUUCAUACCAACACUCAGACAAUUCAGACAGAAUGGACACAUUUUCAGAAAGGCAAAAACUAUAGAAUCUGACUCAAGAGGAAGAAGACUAAACUUAACCACAUGGCUUAAGGCUCUUCUGGUGACUUCCCAGUCCAUCCUCCCCACCCUGGACACUUUGGAACUUGAAGCAGAAAUUCUAGCCUUGCAGGUAUACUUGCUAUCUUCCCUGUUGUUCCACGAUUUUGUUGGCACUUACACUUUGGCAUGCACUGUUUUCUCAGCUAUAAUGCCUUUUGUUUUGUUUUGUUUUUGUUUUUCUAGACAGGGUUUUUCUGUGUAGCUUCAUAGACCAGGUUGGCCUCGAACUCACAAAGAUCUGCUUGCCUCUGCCUCCCAAGUGCUGGGACUAAAAGUGUGUGCCACCACUGCCUGACCUGUUAUGUUAUAUUAGUAGAGAAUUUUUGCAUAUCAGGCAGCUUUCUCUGACCUUUUUCCUGGCAAACUUAUCUUUUUGUUUUUUUUCAGAAUCUCAGUGAAGGUAUUUAGGAUUAUUUUACAUUAUUAUAUUAUUAUAUAAGUAUAUAUAUUAUUA